AUUGAACGCUGGCGGCAUGCUUUACACAUGCAAGUCGGACGCGUCGGGCACGGGUGAGUAACGCAUCGGAACGUCCCGUGUCAUGGGGGAUAACUGGCCGAAAGGAAAGAUAAUACCGCAUAUUAUUCGAUCGGCCGAUGUCUGAUUAGCUGGUGGGCGGGGUAAAGGCACACCAAGGCGACGAUCAAUAGCGGGUCUGAGAGGAUGAUCCGCCACACUGGAACUGAGACACGGCCCAGACUCCUACGGGAGGCAGCAGUGGGGAAUUUUGCACAAUGGGCGCAAGCCUGAUGCAGCCAGGCCGCGUGUCUGAAGAAGGCCUUCGGGUUGUAAAGCACUUUUAUCAGGGAAGCGGUACCUGAAGAAUAAGCACCGGCUAACUACGUGCCAGCAGCCGCGGUAAUAC
rnacentral:rRNA from 1 species